rnacentral:rRNA from 1 species
GGGCGGGGACGAUUAUUGGGCCUAAGCAUCCGUAGCCGGCUCUGCAGUCUUCCGUUAAAUCCACCUGCUCAACAGAUGGGCUGCUGGAGAUACUACAGAGCUAGGGAGCGGGAGAGGCAGACGGUAUUCAGUGGGUAGGGGUAAAAUCCUCUGAUCCAUUGAAGACCACCAGUGGCGAAGGCGGUCUGCCAGAACGCGCUCGACGGUGAGGGAUGAAAGCUGGGGGAGCAAACCGGAUUAGAUACCCGGGUAGUCCCAGCUGUAAACGAUGCAGACUCGGUGAUGCAUUGGCUUAUUGCCAAUGCAGUGCCGCAGGGAAGCCGUUAAGUCUGCCGCCUGGGAAGUACGGACGCAAGACUGAAACUUAAAGGAAUUGGCGGGGGGAGCACAAA